CCUACGGGGGGCAGCAGUGAGGAAUAUUGGUCAAUGGACGAGAGUCUGAACCAGCCAAGUAGCGUGAAGGAUGACUGCCCUCUGGGUUGUAAACUUCUUUUAUAUGGGAAUAAAAUGUUCCACGUGUGGGAUUUUGUAUGUACCAUAUGAUUAAGGAUCGGCUAACUCCGUUCCCGCAGCCGCGGUAAUCCGGCGGAUCCGGGCGUUAUCCGGCUUUAUUGGGUUUAAAGGGAGCGUAGGUGGAUUGUUAAGUCAGUUGUGAAAGUUGGCGGCUCAACCGUAAGAUUGCCGUUGAAACUGGCAGUCUUGAGUACAGUAGAGGUGGGCGGAAUUCGUGGUGUAGCGGUGAAAUGCUUAGAUAUCACGAAGAACUCCGAUUGCGAAGGCAGCUCACUGGACUGCAACUGACACUGAGGCUCGAAAGUGUGGGUAGCAAACAGGAUUAGAUACCCCUGUAGUC
rnacentral:rRNA from 1 species